GUCAUAUGUCAGUACAAUAUGUAAAUCAAUCAGUCACUAUCUUGAUCAUUUUCCGAUUUGUCAGGAGGCAAAUGGUGUCUCCAAAGAAAGUACAUGUGCAGACAGCAUGAUAAUUUAGACUGCAGAAAAUUGCACAAGCAGUUUAUCUAACUCAUAUUGCAGAAGUGAUAAAGGGCGUGUGUGACAACUGAGGGUAUCCUUUUGUAACGUUUUGGGCCAGGGGUGGGUACUUUUUUUUAAUUGAUAUUUGAGUUUGGGUAAAGAUUUUCUUAACUUUUAAUGGUCGGACCGUGGUAACAUUUUUACCAAGAAAAUAUUUCUCUUCGGUGCCACAGUACGGUGAAAAUGUACAACUCCAAUAAUUAAGACAUCUCAAAACGACCUAUAACCUAUAUCAAGAUUAAUAGUGCGUUUCCGUGUGGAGUGCAUAUUGAACGGAUUGUGGAGUAAACAUUACUAGUAGUACAGUUUCGAUCUUGGAAAUAGGACUUGAAACCAGCAGCUCCAGUAAUUUCUAUUACCACCUCAUAAAUAUUUUCAAGAUAUAGUAGUGGCGAAUGCAACUUAUGUACAGUAUACUAGCUGCCACUGUUUUGUGAUGUUCUGUUUGGUUGCAUUGACUGUGAAAUACUCUCCCAUACGAAAAAAUCCUUUAUGUAUUUCAAUAGGAAUUCCUAUUGAAUUUUGGUCCAAUUCCAAUGGCAUAUAGUAAGAAUUUCUCAGAAUAAGGACCUACGGGAAAAGGAAAAUAAUUAGAUGUUGUCCCAUUUCUAAACGAAUUCCCGUAGGAUUUUUUCGUAAUGGAUUUAUUGUUGUACAUAGUAAAAAUAAAGAAGCUCAACAAUGGAGUCAACAUAUUUUAAUGCAUAUUAUGUCUUGUUAAUAAUAAAUUAUAUUUGUCUUUUUUUCCUAGAUCAAUGCUAUUCUGGUGAUCAAACAGUGAAAACAUUCGAUCGUUUUGGUAAAAGCAGUACAUGUAUAACUGGCGGAUUUAAACUAUGUACACCAAAUCCUGAUAACCUUUGUAUAGGACAGUGUUCUUCAAUCUAUGUCUAUAAGUUUAAAGGUAUGAGUGGCAAAGGCCAUGUUACACAAGGCAAUUUUUGCUGCAACUUGCAGUGUAAUUUUUUGACAUGGAGCCAUAUAUAUUAAUUACCUAAAACGGUGGACACAGGGACUUAAUUGUGAGAAUGGCCAAAGGUUUAUUCUGGCGACAUAUUUCAUCCCAUUCUUUCAUUUUUCAUCCCCUAAAGGCGGUUUUCCACUAGACGACAUUUUUCGACCGAAUCGAAAUUUCUUUUUGUUUCAUGAGCUCUCGAGCAGAACUAAUUGUAAAAAGACAAAGAGAAAUUUUGUUUCGGUCGAAAAAUUCCGCCUCGUGGAAUCAGGCCUUAAGAGUACGUUUUGCAAAGAAAGUAUCGUAGAAUUCGGGCCAGGGUCGUGCGCAGUGGGGAUGGGGGGGGGGGGAGGCAGAAGGGCACCUUCUAACUUAUUAAUUUUAUGUUAUAAAUUAUUAUAUUAUUUUAAAUUAUUAUGAUCUCGUAAAAUAAUUCUCGCCUUAGAAGUUUCCACUCGAGUGCGUGUCGUCAGUGGAACAUGACAGACUUGUCAAUUUGAAACAUUGCUUCUUAUGGAAAUUUUAGAAAAGUAAUCAAAUACACUCAAGCUUUCAAGAACAAUAUAAUAUUGUUCAAUUGAACACUUCUGCAUGGAAAAGACGUAGUAUUUGUACAAAUUUGGUAGAUUUAUUUAUUAUUUAUUGUAUAGCGUAGUGAGGGCCAUCAUGAGAAUCAUCGGGUAACCAGUAAUGGUGUUUUUACCCUCGGUAAAUAAAUUAUUUUGACUUUUAAUCAGAAUUGAUGUGAUAUGAUGUUGAAUGCAUUGACUUUUGGUUACUUAUUUCUUUAGGUAUUACUGUCCCCCCACCGGGGUGAAAAAUAUUCUGUGUACGCC
rnacentral:lncRNA from 1 species